UACGUAGGGGGCGAGCGUUGUCCGGAUUUAUUGGGCGUAAAGAGCGUGUAGGCGGCCAGGUAGGUCUGCUGUGAAAACUCGAGGCUCAACCUCGAGACGUCGGCGGAAACCAUCUGGCUAGAGUCCGGAAGAGGAGAGUGGAAUUCCUGGUGUAGCGGUGAAAUGCGCAGAUAUCAGGAGGAACACCGGUGGCGAAGGCGGGUCUCUGGGCCAUAACUGACGCUGAGAAGCGAAAGCAUGGGGAGCGAACAGG
rnacentral:rRNA from 1 species